UGUUUUUUCUCAGAAGGGGGCAGACAUGAGCAACUGGAGGAAUCAGUAUUCUUAAAGAAAGUGCUUCUUGAGUUAAAGUCCUAAAAGAAGUUAAAGAUUCUACAAGACUAGAUUUGUAGAAGAAAGAAGAAUUCCAGGCAUGUGGGAUGAAGUGGCAAAGGUGCAGUGAAGAAGAAUAUGGAAGACUGGGUAUGGGAAAUAUCAAUUGGAGAAGGAAAUGGCAAAGCAUUCCAGUAUCUCUGCCAAAAAGGCCCCCAAGUAAUGUCAUGAAGAGUUGGACAUGAUUGAAACAACUGAACAGCAACAAAUGCACACACCAACAAGGACUACCCCAAAAGACCUUAAGCAUCAUUUUCAAGUGAGCGGAGUAGCUGUAAAGUGGGGCGCAGCAUUGAAGGUGCGCAGGAUUGGGGCUUUUCCAGUCUAUAAGAGGGCGAAAGGGAUCCCAUUCAAACAUGAGCUGAUCCAUCCUCCCCCACCACCACCUACAGGGCCAGAGCCAGCACAUGCCAAGAUGAACAAGCAAUUUCCGCAGCAAGACGGAAAUCCCCAGGGCAUGAGAGAGUGCAGACCUUAGGAUCCCCAGAGCCAGCGCACCUGCCGGAGCCAAGGAAUGGGCGAGGAAUACUUAUUAAGUGAGCAGGGAGCACUUCAGGAUCCUUGAGAGCUCACUAGGACCCCCUGGAGACUUACCCUGAAAGCAGCUAGACCAGAAACCCAGGUGGGCAGGAGAGUGCAGACCCUGAGCACCCCUGGAAGGGUGGUACCGAGAAGAGCUGCAAAGGACUGCAGAGAAUCGAGAGCAUGCCUAAGGUGAAAUCCUUGCUCCUUAACUCCAUACACAGAGAAUUUGUCCAGCUGACUCAGAUUUCUGACUAAAGAGGGAAGGGAAAACAUCCAGAAAAAUGGCUAAUCAUGCACAGGGGCCUCAAAAUCCUUCCAAAAAAACCUAAAAAGAAGACUGUGACCCUCGAAAACUUUUACGGAGGAAAAACCCAGGCUACAGAGAAAAUACUGUAUGAAACAAGGGAAAAGCCCAAAAAAAAAUGGAAAUUCUCCACAAGACCUGGAAGAAUAUCAAAUGGAGCUUAUCAAAAAGAUGGAAGCCUUCUGGAAAGAGAAGUGGGAAAUGGUACAAAAAAAAAUUAAGAAAUCAUAUUUGUAUACCAAAAGGUUAAAGCAGAAAACUAAAAGAUUUUAACAGAAAAACAGGUCUUAAAGACCAGAAUUGAGCAACUGGAAACCAAUGAUCUUGCAAAACAGCAAGAAUUAAUAAAGCAAAGUCAAAAGACUGACA
rnacentral:lncRNA from 1 species